rnacentral:tRNA from 1 species
UGGAGUGUAGCUCCGUGGUAGAGUGCUUGCCUAGCAUGCAUGAGGCCCUGGGUUCAAGUCCCAGCACCACAC